GACGAACCGUGCGAACGUUGUUCGGAAUCACUGGGCUUAAAGGGUGCGUAGGCGGGUUUUUAAGUCAGCGGUGAAAGCUCCGAGCUCAACUCGGAAAUUGCCGUUGAUACUAUUAAUCUUGAAUUUAGUUGAGGUGGGCGGAAUGUGUAGUGUAGCGGUGAAAUGCUUAGAUAUUACACAGAACACCUAUUGCGAAGGCAGCUCGCUAAACUAAUAUUGACGCUGAGGCACGAAAGCGUGGGGAUCAAACAGG
rnacentral:rRNA from 1 species